rnacentral:rRNA from 1 species
UACGGAGGAUCCAAGCGUUAUCCGGAAUCAUUGGGUUUAAAGGGUCCGUAGGCGGCCUUAUAAGUCAGUGGUGAAAGUUUUUGGCUUAACCAAAAAAUUGCCAUUGAUACUGUAGGGCUUGAAUGUCUGUGAAGUAACUAGAAUAUGUAGUGUAGCGGUGAAAUGCUUAGAUAUUACAUGGAAUACCAAUUGCGAAGGCAGGUUACUAACAGAUGAUUGACGCUGAUGGACGAAAGCGUGGGUAGCGAACAGG